UUUCCGUAGGUGAACCUGCGGAAGGAUCAUUAUCGUAACACCGAGGUGCGAGGGCUGUCGCUGACCUCUUCGGUCGUGCACGCCCGAGCGCUCUCACACAAUCCAUCUCACCCCUUGUGCACCACCGCGUGGGUCCCUUUCUGGCUCAUCCGGAGGGGGGCUCGCGUUUUCACACAAACUUGAAGUAGUGUAGAAUGUCCUUUUUUUGCGAUAACACGCAAUCAAUACAACUUUCAACAACGGAUCUCUUGGCUCUC
rnacentral:misc_RNA from 1 species